UUCCUUUCAUUCUUUUUCUUUUACAGUGGUCAUGUGUUCUCUUCUCUUCACCUUCAUUCAUCCGCCUAUAUCACUUCCAGGUAUAUUGUUCCUUUUCUUUUGUUAAACCAAAAUUUUCUUGUAUUUAGUUUCUCAUUCAAUUUAUUUUCUUCUUUUUUCACAGAGCAUUUGGAGCUAUUGUUGAAUUCGACUUAGAUCUAUACUCUCGUUGAAAUCUCAAUACACAAACAUACUCCGCCACUAAGAGUUCUUCUUAGAACACUAGCUGGAUGGAUAAUAAAUGCUAAGGACCGGAUGGAUGCUUGGAGUUGUUUUUCGUGUCAGGACUCCAUUCCAAACAUAAAAUUAUGAAGCAUUGCUUUCUCAUUGUGCGGUGUCACAUGUCUUGGUCGUGGUGAAGCAACUUCACUAAUGAGGAGAACGAAAAUUCAGAGAGACGUUGAGGUAAUUUGUAGGCUUUUAUGAAGUUGUAGCUUCUAGAUUUUUUACUUGCUGAUGUGUACUAGAUUUAUCAUUUGAUCUAUUUGUAUUGCAUCUUGAGUUGUAACAAAACUUUAUAAUAUAACUAGAAGUAUCAUCUGGGAUAAUUCUUCAAUGCUUGAUUAUGUUUACUCAAUGUAAUGCGCUGGUUGCAAAAAAUCUAAAAACUUAGAUAGUAACAUAUUGUUUCAUCAUCUAGAGCAUGAUAGAGUAAGUUGGCUUCCCUUUGAAGUUCAUCUCCAUAUAAAUUUAUUGAUGCAGAGGCCAUCUCUUUCUAGUCUGUAUCUUUUCAAUGUUUUCUUUCCAUGUUUCUUAUAUUAAAGUGAACAGAGACCAAAUUCUUGGCAUGUAUUUGAGGCCAACAAAGGUGCCAUUCACAUUCAUAAUAUAUUAUAUAUCUAGCAUUAGUGUUAGCGUUAAAAUUGGUGCAUUAGACAAAUAAACAAUAAAUAAAUUAUAUUACACAAAUAACAUUUAUUGUCUC